AAUUUUGGACAAUGGGGGAAACCCUGAUCCAGCCCUCCCGCGUGUAUGAUGAAGGCCCUAGGUUUGUAAAGCCCUUUUGUUCGGGACGAUAAUGACGGUACAUGACGAAUAAGCCCUGGCUAACUUCGUGCCAGCAGCCGCGGUAAUACGAAGGGGGCUAGCGUUGCUCGGAAUCACUGGGCGUAAAGGGCGCGUAGGCGGACGUUAAAGUCAGGGGUGAAAUCCCGGGGCUCAACCUCGGAAUUGCCUUUGAUACUAGAUGUCUCGAGACCGGAAGAGGUAAGUGGAACUGCGAGUGUAGAGGUGAAAUUCGUAGAUAUUCGCAAGAACACCAGUGGCGAAGGCGGCUUACUGGUCCGGUUCUGACGCUGAGGCGCGAAAGCGUGGGGAGCAAACAGG
rnacentral:rRNA from 1 species